UCCGACCCACCCAUCAACAUGGACACACCACCACGGAGGCCGAGCUGCGGGAGAACGAGUUCUGGAUCACGUGCCACACCAAGCUCGCAUGCACCAUGGGCCGCUGACUGGCACCUCGCCGCCAUGGAGGUGCAUAAGUGGUGGUACCUCAGCGACAUCCUGGCCCGCCCCUCCCUCCUCCCCCUCACGCCUCGCCGCUACCUCGGAGGCGUGAAGCUUCUCCUCCCCUCUUCGGCGCAACAGUAGCAGCCGUCUCUGCCUCCGUCCCCUGCUGGACCGUCGAAAUCCGCUCGGGUUUGGGCUAUUCUUCUGUGAUGUGAUCACCCAAUUCGGUCAUUUGCGGUGGUUGUGCUUAAAGAUUUCUCAUAGUGUACAACAGUUCCCCUCAAAAGGUCUCAAGCUGCAGACGUAUCUCAAGAAGAGCAAAACAAUAUCCCGAAAGAUUUAGAAAAAGAAGACAUAAUACAUGCACUACGAAGACGUAAAAUAGACGUUGUUGAUUUUGAAUUGCUCACCAUUAUUUUGUUCUUUCCAUUUCAAUGUGCGGGUAUAAUCCCAACAUGUGUUGUUGGAGUUGACUAUGCUGUAAAAAGAGGUAAAAAAGUGUACAUCUGACAAACCACCUUGACUUUUUUAUUGAUGCUCUAUCUUAAUAAUGUAA